CUCAUUUUGAGGCCUUUUAAGGACGGCUAUUCAGCACUCAACCGCUUGCCGUUUAAUCAAUAAUUCCCUUGUGUUACGCUUUUCAAAACUUCUUCCUUAUUCAAAUUCCAACGUCUAAAAAGAAUGUGAAAGUGCAGUUUCUCUGCGAGACUAUGGUCAUUUCGUGCAGGAACUUGAGCAAAUUCUAGCCUUUGGGUAUCUUCGAGAAGGAGCAGUUGGGGCAGUGUUUGAGAUGGGUUUGUGGUAAAUUUGUGGAGAUCUGGUUGGCUUUGGAGUCUACAGAGGGGAUAUGGAGCCUCCAAAAGGGUUUUCUGCUACUCUGUGGAAUCUUAUUCGCUUUCUCCCUUUCUUCAUUGGCCUUCUGCUUCUGGGUGCUAUUAAAGGUAUCAUUUUCUGCCCAUUGGCAUGCCUUAUCAUGGCAGUUGGAAACUCUACUAUUGUAUUAGGUCUUUGGCCAUUCCAUACUUUU
rnacentral:misc_RNA from 1 species